GACGAACGCUGGCGGCGUGCUUAACACAUGCAAGUCGAACGGAAAGGCCCUGCUUGCAGGGUACUCGAGUGGCGAACGGGUGAGUAACACGUGGGUGAUCUGCCCUGCACUUCGGGAUAAGCCUGGGAAACUGGGUCUAAUACCGGAUAGGAGCCAUUCUUAGUGUGAUGGUUGGAAAGUUUUUUCGGUGUAGGAUGAGCUCGCGGCCUAUCAGCUUGUUGGUGGGGUAAUGGCCUACCAAGGCGGCGACGGGUAGCCGGCCUGAGAGGGUGGACGGCCACAUUGGGACUGAGAUACGGCCCAGACUCCUACGGGAGGCAGCAGUGGGGAAUAUUGCACAAUGGGCGCAAGCCUGGUGCAGCGACGCCGCGGGGGGGAUGACGGCCUUCGGGUUGUAAACUCCUUUCGCUAGGGACGAAGCUUUUUGUGACGGUACCUAGAUAAGAAGCACCGGCUAACUACGUG
rnacentral:rRNA from 1 species